rnacentral:tRNA from 1 species
GGAGAAGUGUCUGAGUGGCUUAAAGAGCUUGAUUGCUAAUCAAGUGUGUUUAUUAUUGAACACCAAGGGUUCAAAUCCCUUUUUCUCCU